rnacentral:miRNA from 1 species
UAAGGCACGCGGUGAAUAUC